rnacentral:rRNA from 1 species
UACGGAGGGUGCGAGCGUUGUUCGGAAUUACUGGGCGUAAAGAGCGUGUAGGCGGUUUGGAAAGUCAGGUGUGAAAGCCCUUGGCUCAACCGAGGAAGUGCAUUUGAAACUGCCAUUCUAGAGUAUGGGAGAGGAGAGUGGAAUUCCCGGUGUAGAGGUGAAAUUCGUAGAUAUCGGGAGGAACACCCGUGGCGAAGGCGACUCUCUGGACCAAUACUGACGCUGAGACGAGAAAGCGUGGGGAGCAAACAGG